rnacentral:lncRNA from 1 species
GCUGGAUCCUCUUAUUUCAGCAGAUGGGCAAAAGUGAAGAGAGCAAGGUCAUCACACACGUAGUUUUGGAGUCAGGCCUGGAAGUAGCUCACGUCACUUCCUCUAUCUGCUUUCCAAUUGGCUAGAACUCAGUCACAUGACAUUCCUAACUGCAAGGGAGGCCAGGAAAUGUAGUUUUUUACAGUUAUAUUCAGGCGGAAAACAAGGACUUGGUGACUACAGAGCCAGCAUUUUCUUUGCCUCAGACUUUACCAAUUUCCAACCAGCAAAGUUUUUCCAGUUUAUAUUUCUAAAAGAAAGGAUGGCCAGCUGCUGCUUGAUGAUUCACUAGGAAGCCUGGCCCCUUGACAGAGCAAAUGCCAGUGAGGACUGCAAAUGGCUUCCAAUGUCUGUUUGCCCAAGGCCUUCUGGGAACUGAGGGCCUGGCAUGAGCACUGCAAGGAACUGCAAACCAGGUGAGUCACGGAUUUACCA